GAUUAAGAUGGUUUUGUACAU
rnacentral:siRNA from 1 species